UACGUAGGGUGCGAGCGUUAAUCGGAAUUACUGGGCGUAAAGCGUGCGCAGGCGGUUUUGCAAGCCGGAUGUGAAAUCCCCGGGCUCAACCUGGGAAUGGCAUUCGGGACUGCAAGGCUGGAGUGCGGCAGAGGAGACUGGAAUUCCUGGUGUAGCAGUGAAAUGCGUAGAUAUCAGGAGGAAUACCGAUGGCGAAGGCAGCGAAUUGGCGCUAUAUUGACGCUCAGGCACGAAAGCAUGGGGAUCAAACAGG
rnacentral:rRNA from 1 species